GACGAACGCUGGCGGCGUGCUUAACACAUGCAAGUCGAACGAUGAAGCCGGAGCUUGCUCUGGUGAAUUAGUGGCGAACGGGUGAGUAACACGUGAGUAACCUGCCCUUGACUCUGGGAUAACUGCGAGAAACUGUAGCUAAUACCGGAUACGACCCUCGGAGGCAUCUCCUGGGGGUGGAAAGAAUUUCGGUCAAGGAUGGACUCGCGGCCUAUCAGCUAGUUGGUGAGGUAAAGGCUCACCAAGGCGACGACGGGUAGCCGGCCUGAGAGGGUGACCGGCCACGCUGGGACUGAGACGCGGCCCAGACUCCUACGGGAGGCAGCAGUGGGGAAUAUUGCACAAUGGGGGCAAGCCUGAUGCAGCAACGCCGCGUGAGGGAUGACGGGCUUCGGGUUGUAAACCUCUUUGAGUAGGGAAGAAGCGAAAGUGACGGUACCUGCAGAAAAAGCACCGGCUAACUACGUGCCAGCAGCCGCAGUAA
rnacentral:rRNA from 1 species